GACGAACGCUGGCGGCGUGCUUAACACAUGCAAGUCGAACGGAAAGGCCCUGCUUUUUUGGGGUGCUCGAGUGGCGAACGGGUGGGUAACACAUGAGUAACCUGCCCUUGACUUUGGGAUAACUUCAGGAAACUGGGGCUAAUACAGGAUAGGAGAUCCUGCUUCAUGGGGGUGGUUGGACAGUUUCGGCGGUUGGGGAUGGACUCGCGGCUUAUCAGCUUGUUGGUGGGGUAGUGGCUUACCAAGGCUUUGACGGGUAGCCGGCCUGAGAGGGUGACCGGCCACAUUGGGACUGAGAUACGGCCCAGACGCCUACGGGAGGCAGCAGUGGGGAAUAUUGCACAAUGGGGGGAAGCCUGAUGCAGCAACGCCGCGUGCGGGAUGACGGCCUUCGGGUUGUAAACCGCUUUCGCCUGUGACGAAGCGUGAGUGACGGUAAUGGGUAAAGAAGCACCGGCUAACUACGUG
rnacentral:rRNA from 1 species